rnacentral:rRNA from 3 species
AUUAUGUAAAAUGACUCUCGGCAACGGAUAUCUCGGCUCUUGCAUCGAUGAAGAACGUAGCGAAAUGCGAUACUUGGUGUGAAUUGCAGAAUCCCGUGAACCAUCGAGUCUUUGAACGCAAGUUGCGCCCAAAGCCAUUAGGUUGAGGGCACGCCUGCCUGGGUGUCACAC